rnacentral:piRNA from 1 species
UAAGGUACCUUAUUGACUUCGGU